CAUGGACGAACGCCGGCGGCGCGUCAAAACAAGCAAGGAUGACGAGUCAUCGCGCACUCGCCGAACCGGCGAGCAAAACGCCGGAAACUCCCCUCGAGCGGGGAAAAACCGCCCGACAGGUCAGCAAAUACCGCAUAAUACCGCAAGGUUAAAGUAGUAAUACGCUUCGGGAGGGGCCUGCGUCUGAUUAGCUAGUUGGUGAGGUAAUUGCUCACCAAGGCGACGAUCAGUAGCUGGAUCGAGAGGUUGACCAGCCACACUGGGACUGAGAUACGGCCCAGACUCCUACGGGAGGCAGCAGUAAGGAAUCUUCCACAAUGGACGAAAGUCUGAUGGAGCAACGCCGCGUGCAGGAUGACGGUCUUCGGAUUGUAAACUGCUUUUUGUAUGGGAAGAUUAUGACGGUACCAUGCGAAUAAGGACCGGCUAACUACGUGCCAGCAGCCGCGGUAAUACGUAGGGUCCAAGCGUUAUCCGGAAUCACUGGGCGUAAAGCGUGCGUAGGUGGUCUGUUAAGUGAGAUGUGAAACCGUGGGGCUCAACCCUGUCGUUGUGUCUCAUACUGGCAGACUAGAGGACAGCAGAGGCAAGUGGAACUCGUAGUGUAGCAGUGAAAUGCGUAGAUAUUACGAAGAACACCAAUGGCGAAGGCAGCUUGCUGGGCUACUCCUGACACUGAGGUACGAAAGCGUGGGGAGCGAACAGGAUUAGAUACCCUGGUAGUCCACGCCGUAAACGAUGCAUACUAGACGUAUGGGGUAUCGACCCCCUGUGCGUCGCAGCUAACGCGAUAAGUAUGCCGCCUGGGAAGUACGGCCGCAAGGCUAAAACUCAAAGGAAUUGACGGGGACCCGCACAAGCGGAGGAUGAUGUGGUUUAAUAUGACGGUACGCGUAGAACCUUACCGAGGCUUGACAUCCUGCGAAUCCACUGGAAACAGAGGAGUGCCGCAAGGAGCGCAGUGACAGGUGCUGCAUGGCCGUCGUCAGCUCGUGUCGUGAGAUGUUGGGUUAAGUCCCGCAACGAGCGCAACCCCUGUCGUAUGUUGAAUUUUUCAUGCGAGACUGCCCGGGCCAACCGGGAGGAAGGUGGGGUCGAAGUCAGGUCGGCAUGGCCCUUACGCCUCGGGCCACACACGUCAUACAAUGGCCGGUACAACGCGCCGCUAAGCCGCAAGGCGGAGCUAAUCGCAUCAAAACCGGUCUCAGUUCGGAUUGGAGGCUGCAACUCGCCUCCAUGAAGUCGGAUUCGCUAGUAAACGUGGGUCAGCACACCACGUUGAAUACGUUCCCGGGUCUUGUACACACCGCCCGUCACGUCACGGAAGUCGCCAACACCCGAAGUGCCUACUUUGCUAGGCCCUAAGGUGGGGGUGGUAACUGGGAUG
rnacentral:rRNA from 1 species